ACAAAAGAAUUGGGUUUUUCAAAAUCCUAGAGUGUCUUAGACCCUUAAACAAGUUUCAGAUCAUUAGUGUAAGAAGUGUAAUAUUCGGUUGUUAAAUUGGAAAGUGGAAAACUAAUUGAAAAAAUCUCGAUAUUUAUCGCAGUGAUGCAGCGUGCGCCUAUUGCCAGAGAGCUCCGAUGCAAGUGACGCGAAAAAAGCGGUUCCCGAGCAAUAUUCUAUUAAUGAGUAUAGAUCCUGAAAUAUUUUAGGUGCGUUCUAAUUAUGCAUAAAUGCUUUCUUCUUCUGUAAUACAACAUCAAAACACCAUGGUAGAGUAUAUUCCCGUGUGUGUGCGAUUUCUAGCUGGAUUCGCGUAUUUCCCAGCUGUACGUAUGCCCUUUGCCAACUGCAUACUUUAUUGAUACAAAUUGAUAUGACUUUAUGAGAGUUUGUGUACUUGUAAUAUCGCAUUGCGUUGUUAUGGCCAAUGCAUGCAGUGGCGGUCAUGUGUUGAUUAUGAUAUAAAAAUAAAUUCGAGUGAUGAAUGGAAUUUUGUAAAGGAUUUCACUAACUUUUUUCGCCCAGCCACGAG